rnacentral:rRNA from 1 species
GACGAACGCUGGCGGCGUGCCUAAUACAUGCAAGUAGGACGCAGUUGCGAACGAGUGAGUAACGCGUAGGUAACUGACUAUUAGAGGGGGGUAACUAUUGGCAACGAUAGCUAAUACCGCAUACUAGUAGAUGGACCUGCGGUGUAGUAGCUAGUAGGUAGGGUAAUGGCCUACCUAGGCAAAGAUACAUAGCCGAUCUGGGAGGGUGGUCGGCCAAACUGGGACGGAGACACGGCACAGACUCCUACGGGAUGCAGCAGUAGGGAAUCUUCGGCAAUGGGGGGAACCCUGACCGAGCAACGCCGCGGGAGUGAAGAAGGUUUUCGGAUCGUAAAGCUCUGUUGUUAAGGGAGCGGUACUUAACCAGAAAGGGACGGCUAACUACGUGCCAGCAGCCGCGGUAAUUC